ACGUGGGCAACCUGCCCGAAAGAGGGGGAUAACACUUGGAAACAGGUGCUAAUACCGCAUAACCAUGAACACCGCAUGGUGUUUAUGUGAAAGGUGGUUUCGGCUACCGCUUUCGGAUGGGCCCGCGGCGCAUUAGCUAGUUGGUGGGGUAAAGGCUUACCAAGGCAAUGAUGCGUAGCCGAACUGAGAGGUUGAUCGGCCACAUUGGGACUGAGACACGGCCCAAACUCCUACGGGAGGCAGCAGUAGGGAAUCUUCCACAAUGGGCGAAAGCCUGAUGGAGCAACGCCGCGUGGGUGAAGAAGGUCUUCGGAUCGUAAAACCCUGUUGUCAGAGAAGAAAGUGCAUGAGAGUAACUGUUCAUGUUUCGACGGUAUCUGACCAGAAAGCCACGGCUAACUACGUGCCAGCAGCCGCGGUAAUACGUAGGUGGCAAGCGUUAUCCGGAUUUAUUGGGCGUAAAGGGAACGCAGGCGGUCUUUUAAGUCUGAUGUGAAAGCCUUCGGCUUAACCGGAGUAGUGCAUUGGGAACUGGGAGACUUGAGUGCAGAAGAGGAGAGUGGAACUCCAUGUGCAGCGGUGAAAUGCGUAGAUAUAUGGAAGAACACCAGUGGCGAAAGCGGCUCUCUGGUCUGUAACUGACGCUGAGGUUAGAAAGCGUGGGUAGCAAACAGGAUUAGAUACCCUGGUAGUCCACGCCGUA
rnacentral:rRNA from 1 species